UACGAAGGGGGCUAGCGUUGCUCGGAAUUACUGGGCGUAAAGGGCGCGUAGGCGGACAGUUUAGUCAGAGGUAAAAGCCCAGGGCUCAACCUUGGAACUGCCUUUGAUACUGGCUGUCUUGAGUUCGGGAGAGGUGAGUGGAAUGCCGAGUGUAGAGGUGAAAUUCGUAGAUAUUCGGCGGAAUACCAGUGGCGAAGGCGGCUCACUGGUCCGGUACUGACGCUGAGGUGCGAAAGCGUGGGGAGCAAACAGG
rnacentral:rRNA from 1 species